rnacentral:rRNA from 1 species
AUACCGGAGAAUGUUAUCACGGGAGACACACGGCGGGUGCUAACGUCCGUCGUGAAGAGGGAAACAACCCAGACCGCCAGCUAAGGUCCCAAAGUCAUGGUUAAGUGGGAAACGAUGUGGGAAGGCCCAGACAGCCAGGAUGUUGGCUUAGAAGCAGCCAUCAUUUAAAGAAAGCGUAAUAGCUCACUGGUCGAGUCGGCCUGCGCGGAAGAUGUAACGGGGCUAAACCAUGCACCGAAGCUGCGGCAGCGAACGUAUCACUUAAAACGAUUCAGAAGCUUACGAUUGACGGAGCGAAGCGACGUCAAAGCGUAUACAAAGUCGAGUCGGUUUAAGGAUACGUUCGUUGGGUAGGGGAGCGUUCUGUAAGCCGUUGAAGGUGUCCUGUGAGGGGUGCUGGAGGUAUCAGAAGUGCGAAUGCUGACAUAAGUAACGAUAAAGCGGGUGAAAAGCCCGCUCGCCGGAAGACCAAGGGUUCCUGUCCAACGUUAAUCGGGGCAGGGUGAGUCGACCCCUAAGGCGAGGCCGAAAGGCGUAGUCGAUGGGAAACGGGUUAAUAUUCCCGUACUUGGUGUUACUGCGAAGGGGGGACGGAGAAGGCUAUGUUGGCCGGGCGACGGUUGUCCCGGUUUAAGCGUGUAGGUGUGUGUUCCAGGUAAAUCCGGUUCACUUUAACACUGAGGCGUGAUGACGAGGCACCACGGUGCUGAAGCAACAAAUGCCCUGCUUCCAGGAAAAGCCUCUAAGCAUCAGGUAACAUCAAAUCGUACCCCAAACCGACACAGGUGGUCAGGUAGAGAAUACCAAGGCGCUUGAGAGAACUCGGGUGAAGGAACUAGGCAAAAUGGUGCCGUAACUUCGGGAGAAGGCACGCUGACACGUAGGUGAAGUGAUUUACUCAUGGAGCUGAAGUCAGUCGAAGAUACCAGCUGGCUGCAACUGUUUAUUAAAAACACAGCACUGUGCAAACACGAAAGUGGACGUAUACGGUGUGACGCCUGCCCGGUGCCGGAAGGUUAAUUGAUGGGGUCAGCGCAAGCGAAGCUCCUGAUCGAAGCCCCGGUAAACGGCGGCCGUAACUAUAACGGUCCUAAGGUAGCGAAAUUCCUUGUCGGGUAAGUUCCGACCUGCACGAAUGGCGUAAUGAUGGCCAGGCUGUCUCCACCCGAGACUCAGUGAAAUUGAACUCGCUGUGAAGAUGCAGUGUACCCGCGGCAAGACGGAAAGACCCCGUGAACCUUUACUAUAGCUUGACACUGAACAUUGAGCCUUGAUGUGUAGGAUAGGUGGGAGGCUUUGAAGCGUGGACGCCAGUCUGCGUGGAGCCGACCUUGAAAUACCACCCUUUAAUGUUUGAUGUUCUAACGUGGACCCGUAAUCCGGGUUGCGGACAGUGUCUGGUGGGUAGUUUGACUGGGGCGGUCUCCUCCUAAAGAGUAACGGAGGAGCACGAAGGUUGGCUAAUCCUGGUCGGACAUCAGGAGGUUAGUGCAAUGGCAUAAGCCAGCUUGACUGCGAGCGUGACGGCGCGAGCAGGUGCGAAAGCAGGUCAUAGUGAUCCGGUGGUUCUGAAUGGAAGGGCCAUCGCUCAACGGAUAAAAGGUACUCCGGGGAUAACAGGCUGAUACCGCCCAAGAGUUCAUAUCGACGGCGGUGUUUGGCACCUCGAUGUCGGCUCAUCACAUCCUGGGGCUGAAGUAGGUCCCAAGGGUAUGGCUGUUCGCCAUUUAAAGUGGUACGCGAGCUGGGUUUAGAACGUCGUGAGACAGUUCGGUCCCUAUCUGCCGUGGGCGCUGGAAGACUGAGGGGGGCUGCUCCUAGUACGAGAGGACCGGAGUGGACGCAUCACUGGUGUUCGGGUUGUCAUGCCAAUGGCACUGCCCGGUAGCUAAAUGCGGAAAAGAUAAGUGCUGAAAGCAUCUAAGCACGAAACUUGCCCCGAGAUGAGUCUUCCCUGAGACCUUGAGUCUCCUGAAGGAACGUUAAAGACGAUGACGUUGAU